rnacentral:rRNA from 1 species
GACGUAGGGCGCGAGCGUUGUCCGGAUUUAUUGGGCGUAAAGAGCUUGUAGGCGGUUUGUCGCGUCUGCUGUGAAAUCUCAAGGCUCAACCUUGAGCUUGCAGUGGGUACGGGCAGACUAGAGUGUGGUAGGGGAGACUGGAAUUCCUGGUGUAGCGGUGAAAUGCGCAGAUAUCAGGAGGAACACCGAUGGCGAAGGCAGGUCUCUGGGCCACUACUGACGCUGAGAAGCGAAAGCAUGGGGAGCGAACAGG